UUGUACACUUUUCAGUGAAAGAGUUUGAUUAUUCUUUUGUUUUGUUCACGUGAAUAAAAGAUAUUUCUUUUUCUUUAUAUAGCAUUCUGGAAAACUUGAUAUAAGAUACCGAGUGAUAAUACCACCAGCGGCGUAAGGCUGUAAUAAUUGAAUACAUAGUGCAUCCCUGGCCAGUUGACGAAUCUCUACUUAAUUCCGGAUAUUAUAUCGACAAUAAACGACGCAGAACCAGCACAAGCCAAUUUUCGCUGGCAGUCCAACGACAAGCCGUCAGGUGGUUUACAUCAGCUCCCGACAGAUAGACGGUACACGAUUUUUUUUUCGUACGGCAACGGUCAUUUCUUGGGACAGGUCGAAGGAAAUUAUUGAUACGUACUGGAAGCGUAGAAAUAAUGGCGCAUCGAAACCAACUCAAGAUUCAUAAGGACAACCUACACCGGCAAAGGCCAAACAUCUUCAUUACGAAACUCAACUCAAAUGAGACAGCGAGUGAUAUGCGAGUGGAAACCGGAGAAAACCAGGAGAGUGGCGAAGGCGAUAUGAACGUGCUUCCGAAGGGGAGAAUCCUAGGUGGUAAACGAAAACGUGAGGCUGCUGACACAGAAGCACAGCACCUGAGAAGAUCCAAACGAAAAAAGAAGGCGACUCGCCGAGAGGAUUAUCAUUAUGAAUAAGUUCUGAAAUUUCAAUUUAUCUAUAAGUCUACAGUGAAUUUAAAGCUUAUUUUUGAAUGAAAAUGUUUGUAAUGUUUGACGAAUGUCAACUUAGUAAUAUUAACAAUUGAACUAAAGAGGGAAGAAUUGUCAUAGCCCUCGCGCACCCUGCGCAUUCGAAAACCGAUGUUCGCUCUGAAUGUCAUAAGUCGUGUAGCCUUCGGGCAAUCGAAUUGUAUUUGAUCGGUUACCUGUCUGAAAACUGAAUACAUGCUUUUUAGUCUAGUUUGAGACGUCGACCUAAACAGUUGUUUUUCACCUCACCACAAGAAGGAAAACCCCGUAUAACUUGAUGUC